AUUGAACGCUGGCGGCAGGCCUAACACAUGCAAGUCGAGCGGAUGAAGGGAGCUUGCUCCUGGAUUCAGCGGCGGACGGGUGAGUAAUGCCUAGGAAUCUGCCUGGCAGUGGGGGAUAACGUCCGGAAACGGGCGCUAAUACUGCAUACGUCCUGAGGGAGAAAGUGGGGGAUCUUCGGACCUCACGCUAUCAGAUGAGCCUAGGUCGGAUUAGCUAGUUGGUGGGGUAAAGGCCUACCAAGGCGACGAUCCGUAACUGGUCUGAGAGGAUGAUCAGUCACACUGGAACUGGGACACGGUCCAGACUCCUACGAGAGGCAGCAGUGGGGAAUAUUGGACAGUGGGCGAAAGCCUGAUCCAGCCAUGCCGCGUGUGUGAAGAAGGUCUUCGGAUUGUAAAGCACUUUAAGUUGGGAGGAAGGGCAGUAAGUUAAUACCUUGCUGUUUUGACGUUACCAACAGAAUAAGCACCGGCUAACUUCGUG
rnacentral:rRNA from 1 species